rnacentral:rRNA from 1 species
GACGAACGCUGGCGGCGUGCUUAACACAUGCAAGUCGAACGGAAAGGCCCUGCUUGCAGGGUACUCGAGUGGCGAACGGGUGAGUAACACGUGGGUGAUCUGCCCUGCACUUCGGGAUAAGCCUGGGAAACUGGGUCUAAUACCGGAUAGGAGCCAUUUUUAGUGUGAUGGUUGGAAAGUUUUUUCGGUGUAGGAUGAGCUCGCGGCCUAUCAGCUUGUUGGUGGGGUAAUGGCGUACCAAGGCGGCGACGGGUAGCCGGACUGAGAGGGUGGACGGACACACAGCGACUGAGAGACGGCCCAGACGCCCAGAGGAGGCAGCAGUGGGGCAGAUUGGACAAUGGGAGCAAGCCUGAUGGAGCGACGCAGCGUGGGGGAUGAAGGCAUUCGGGUUGUAGACUCCUUUCGCUAGGGACGAAGCUAUUUGAGGCAGUACCUAGAUAAGAAGCACCGGCUAAAACCGUGC